GUGUCAGCCGCCGCGGUAAUACCAGCUCCUCGAGUGGUUGGGACGAUUAUUGGGUCUAAAGCGUCCGUAGCCGGCCGGAAAAGUUCCCCGUUAAAUCCGACGAUCCAAUCGUCGGGCUGCGGAGAAUACUCUUCGGCUUGGGGGCGGGGGAGGUCGGCGGUAGUCCCGGGGUAGGGGCGAAAUCUUAUAAUCCCGGGAGGACCACCAGUGGCGAAGGCGGCCGACUAAAACGCGCCCGACGGUGAGGGACGAAAGCUGGGGGAGCGAACGGGAUUAGAUACCCCGGUAGUCCCAGCUGUAAACGAUGCAGGCUAGGUGUCGGGAUGGCUACGGGCCACCCCGGUGCCGCAGGGAAGCCAUUAAGUCUGCCACCUGGGAAGUACGGUCGCAAGGCUGAAACUUAAAUGAAUUGACGGGG
rnacentral:rRNA from 1 species